rnacentral:rRNA from 1 species
UACAGAGGGGGCAAGCGUUGUUCGGAAUUACUGGGCGUAAAGGGCGCGUAGGCGGCCUGUUAAGUCGAACGUGAAAUCCCCGGGCUCAACCCGGGAACUGCGUCCGAUACUGGCAGGCUUGAAUUCGGGAGAGGGAUGCGGAAUUCCAGGUGUAGCGGUGAAAUGCGUAGAUAUCCGGAGGAACACCGGUGGCGAAGGCGGCUUCCUGGGCCGACACUGACGCUGAGGCGCGAAAGCCAGGGGAGCAAACGGG